rnacentral:rRNA from 1 species
GAACGGGUGAGUAACACGUGGGCAAUCUGCCCUGCACUUCGGGAUAAGCCUGGGAAACUGGGUCUAAUACCGGAUAGGACCUCAAGACGCAUGUCUUCUGGUGGAAAGCUUUUGCGGUGUGGGAUGGGCCCGCGGCCUAUCAGCUUGUUGGUGGGGUGACGGCCUACCAAGGCGACGACGGGUAGCCGGCCUGAGAGGGUGUCCGGCCACACUGGGACUGAGAUACGGCCC